rnacentral:rRNA from 1 species
UACGGAGGGUGCAAGCGUUAUCCGGAUUUACUGGGUUUAAAGGGUGCGUAGGUGGACUUUUAAGUCAGUGGUGAAAUCCCGAGGCUCAACCUCGGAACUGCCAUUGAUACUAUUAGUCUUGAAUUCUGCGGAGGUUAGCGGAAUGAAUCAUGUAGCGGUGAAAUGCUUAGAUAUGAUUCAGAACACCGAUUGCGAAGGCA